rnacentral:rRNA from 1 species
CCUACGGGUGGCAGCAGUGGGGAAUAUUGCGCAAUGGGCGAAAGCCUGACGCAGCGACGCCGCGUGAGGGAUGAAGGUCUUCGGAUCGUAAACCUCUGUCAGCAGGGAAGAACGGUCACUGUGCUAAUCAGCAGUGAAUUGACGGUACCUGCAAAGGAAGCACCGGCUAACUCCGUGCCAGCAGCCGCGGGAAUACGGAGGGUGCGAGCGUUAAUCGGAAUUACUGGGCGUAAAGCGCUCGUAGGCGGUAUGUCAAGUCAAGGGUGAAAGCCCCGUGCUGAACGUGGGAACUGCCUUUGAAACUGGCAAACUGGAGUGUGUGAGAGGAGAGUGGAAUUCCAGGUGUAGGAGUGAAAUCCGUAGAUAUAUGGAGGAACAUCAGUGGCGAAGGCGACUAUCUGGCACAUAACUGACGCUGAGGAGCGAAAGCGUGGGUAGCAAACAGGAUUAGAUACCCCAGUAGUC